AGAUAGAAUGGAAUAUGAAAGAAGACAAAAGGAGAAACAACAUGAAUGUACUGGAUGUUCAUAGUUGAACAAACGGUGUGAGAAGUAACAGGAUCAUUCAUUGUGUUUUGCAAAUAAAUAAGCAUAACACAAGUACAAAGUAUCUGAAUAUUUAUUCAUACAUUUCAUACAACUAUGGAAUAAACAGUAAAAACUGUGAAAAGAGCUUGUGAGGCUACCUGCUUGCCAUGUUUAUUUCGGUCUUAAAAGUCUUCU